GACGAACGCUGGCGGCGUGCUUAACACAUGCAAGUCGAACGGAAAGGCCCUGCUUUUGUGUGGUGCUCGAGAGGCGCACGGGUGAGUAACACGCGAGUAACCUGCACCUAUCUUUGGGAUAACUUCAGGAAACUGGGGCUAAUAUCGGAUAGGAGCUCCUGCUGCACGGUGGGGGUUAGAAAGUGACGGCGGUGGGGGAUGGUAUCGCUGCUUAUCCGCUGCUUGGGCGAGUAGUGGCGUACCAGGGCUUUGACGGAUAGCCUGCCUGAGAGGGGGAACAGCGACAAUGGGACUAAGGUACGGCACAGAAGCCAACGGGAGGCAGCGGGCGAGAAUAUUGCGCAAUGGGCGGAAGCCAGUGGCAGCGGUGUCGGGUGCGGAAUAACGGCUUUCGAGGUGUAAACAUCUGUCGCAUGUGACGAAGCGUGCGUGACGGUACUGAGUAAAGAAGCAACGGCUAACUACGUG
rnacentral:rRNA from 1 species